rnacentral:lncRNA from 1 species
GUAGAAUAAACAAGAAAAUUUGUAAAUUGUAAAAAAGUAAAAUAACAAUGUGCAAAUUAGGUAAAUGCAUGAAUUAAGCAUGCUUGAAAGGCAUUGGUGCCGAAAAAUGAAAGUUUCAAAAACACUUCUCAAAUGAGCAAUUAAACCAAUAGCAUGUAAGCAUUCCGUCACAAGAUGCUGUUUGGAUACCGCGGUCAAAUACCGUCAGACACAGCACCACAAGAG